rnacentral:rRNA from 1 species
ACAACGGAGAGUUUGAUCCUGGCUCAGGACGAACGCUGGCGGCGUGCUUAACACAUGCAAGUCAGGGAGAAAGGAGUAGCAAUACUCUGAGUAAACCGGCGAACGGGUGAGUAAUGCGUAGGCAACUUACCUUGUGAACGGGGAUAACCCCUCGAAAGCGGGGCUAAUACCCGAUGAAAUUCUGUUACAGCAUUGUAGUAGAAUGAAAGAUCCCAAAAGGAUGUCACAAGAUGGGCCUGCGUCCCAUUAGAUAGUUGGCGGGGUAAUGGCCCACCAAGUCGACGAUGGGUAGCUGGUCUGAGAGGACGAUCAGCCACACUGGAACUGAGACACGGUCCAGACUUCUACGGAAGGCAGCAGUGAGGAAUAUUGCUCAAUGGGCGAAAGCCUGAAGCAGCGACGCCGCGUGAGGGAUGAAAUCCGUUAGGAUGUAAACCUCUUUUGCAGGGGAUGAAUGUCCCGUUUUACGGGAUUGACCGUACUCUGCGAAUAAGCACCGGCCAACUACGUGCCAGCAGCCGCGGUAAUACGUAGGGUGCAAGCGUUGUCCGGAAUUACUGGGUGUAAAGGGUCCGCAGGCGGGUAAGCAAGUCGGUGGUGAAAUCCUGCAGCUCAACUGCAGAACUGCCUCCGAUACUGUUUAUCUUGAGUACGAGAGAGGAUGAUGGAAUUCAUGGUGUAGCGGUGAAAUGCGUAGAGAUCAUGAAGAACACCGGUUGCGAAGGCGAUCAUCUGGCUCGUUACUGACGCUCAGGGACGAAAGCGUGGGGAGCAAACAGGAUUAGAUACCCUGGUAGUCCACGCCUUAAACGAUGGAUGUUCGGUGUCGGUCCCGUUCAGCAUAUAUUAAUAUGUGUUGAACGGGAUCGGUGCCUGAGCUAACGCGUUAAACAUCCCACCUGGGGAGUACGAUCGCAAGGUUGAAACUCAAAGGAAUUGACGGGGGCCCGCACAAGCAGUGGAGCAUGUGGUUCAAUUCGAUGCAACGCGAAGAACCUUACCUGGGUUUGAAAGGCUCUGUAAACCGGUGAAAGCCGGCUAGUGUAGCAAUACACGCGGAGUACAGGUGCUGCAUGGCUGUCGUCAGCUCGUGCCGUGAGGUGUUAGGUUAAGUCCUGCAACGAGCGCAACCCCUGCACUUAGUUGCCAUCAGGUAAUGCUGGGCACUCUAAGUGGACUGCCUACGCAAGUAGUGAGGAAGGUGGGGAUGACGUCAAGUCCUCAUGGCCCUUACACCCAGGGCCACACACGUGCUACAAUGGAUGGUACAAAGGGUUGCCAAGCCGCAAGGUGGAGCCAAUCCCAAAAAACCAUCCUCAGUUCGGAUUGGGGUCUGCAACUCGACCCCAUGAAGCUGGAAUUGCUAGUAAUCGCGUAUCAGCACGACGCGGUGAAUACGUUCCCGGGCCUUGUACACACCGCCCGUCAAGCCAUGGAAACUGGGGGUACCCGAAAACGCUGCGCUAACCGCAAGGAAGUAGGCGUCUAAGGUAAAACCAGCGACUGGGGCUAAGUCGUAACAAGGUAGCCGUACCGGAAGGUGCGGCUGGAUCACCUCCUUUCUAAGGAGCU